ACAGUGUCGCGAUAGUAAUUCAACCUAGUACGAGAGGAACCGUUGAUUCACACAAUUGGUCAUCGCUCUUGGUUGAAAAGCCAACGGUGCGAAGCUACCGUGUGCCGGAUUAUGACUGAAUGUCAAGUCAGAAUCCAAGCUAGCAUGCGACACCCGCGCCCGCCACCCGCCCCGACCCACGUUAGGGGAACUUGCGCCCCCAAGGGCCCGUUCCAUUGGCUCCCUUCCCAACGGGUGGUGGGAUGAAUCCAUUGCAGACGACUUAAAGACGUGACGCGGCAUUGUAAGUGGCAGAGUGGCCUUGCUUCCACGAUCCACCAAGAUCCAGCCCCAUGUCGCAUGGAUUC
rnacentral:rRNA from 1 species